GAGGUAUACGAUGGACCCGCGUCUGAUUAGCCAGUUGGCAGGGUAACGGCCUACCAAAGCAACGAUCAGUAGCCGGCCUGAGAGGGUGGACGGCCACAUUGGGACUGAGACACGGCCCAAACUCCUGCGGGAGGCAGCAGUGGGGGAUAUUGCACAAUGGGGGAAACCCUGAUGCAGCGACGCCGCGUGAGUGAAGAAGCAUUUCGGUGUGUAAAGCUCUAUCAGCAGGGAAGAAGAAUGACGGUACCUGACUAAGAAGCCCCGGCUAACUACGUGCCAGCAGCCGCGGUAAUACGUAGGGGGCAAGCGUUAUCCGGAUUUACUGGGUGUAAAGGGAGCGUAGACGGCAAUGCAAGCCAGAUGUGAAAACCCGCAGCUCAACUGGGGGAGUGCAUUUGGAACUGUGUAGCUGGAGUGCAGGAGAGGUAAGCGGAAUUCCUGGUGUAGCGGUGAAAUGCGUAGAUAUCAGGAGGAACACCAGUGGCGAAGGCGGCUUACUGGACUGUAACUGACGUUGAGGCUCGAAAGCGUGGGGAGCAAACAGGAUUAGAUACCCUGGUAGUCCACGCUGUAAACGAUGAAUACUAGGUGUCGGGGGUUUACGGACGCCCG
rnacentral:rRNA from 1 species